AUGAGCGCGAUAAGGGCAUUCGGU
rnacentral:rRNA from 1 species